ensembl:lncRNA novel transcript
UCUGCUGUCCUCUGGGGAGAAUGCAUUUGAACUCAUCUCAAAAAGCUGGUUUUCUACCCUGGAGGUCUCCGAUGGCUACUGCGAGAAGAAAGCCAUGUCCCGAAAGCAGUGAUACAGAUUGGCAGCCACUGCAGAGAUGCAGAAUGUCGAAGAGUGUGUGUGUUGGAAUUCCUGGACAGACACUGCUCUGAAAGAAAAACCCUCUGGUUUUGGAAGUCUGGCUGGGCAAGGCAGGCGGAGGUCAUGGAGGGGCCGGCGUGAUGGAAUCCUCGGUGCAGCUGACUGCGCAGCCCGACACUGGCGUGGACACUGGGACGCGUCAUGCAACAUCCAACCAGAGCACACUCACGAGGACAAACAUGGGCCCACCUAUUUACCAUCAGAAAAACAAAAUCAUGCUCUUUCACUUUGAAAGAAGGGGGAAACUGGAAAGUUAUUAUUUGAAAUAAAAUGGAAUUUUAG